UCCAGUCACCAGGUCCCCACUUUCCUGCCUUCUCCUUGAGGACACAGCCUGGCAGACAGGAUGUCACUGCUGGAAACAUUCACCUUCUUGUCCUUCUGGGCUGUUGGACUUGGGUUAACAAAAGUGGAGCAGUCCCAGAUAUCCAUUUCCACAGAAGUAAAGAAAAGUAUUGACAUAUAUUGCAAGAUAACGAGCUCAGACUUUGAAGGGGAAUACAUUCACUGGUACCGGCAGAAACCUAAUGAGGCUUUGGAGUAUGUGAUUACUGUGAGCUCGACAAAAUCCCCAGCUCGAGCUAACCUAGGUGGGAAGAAAAAUAAACUUGAAGCAAGGAAGGAUUCUCAAACUUCCACUGCAAUCCUUACGGUAAAUUUCAUAGAAAAAGAAGAUGUGGCCAUUUACUACUGUGCAGGAUGGAUGUGUGAUAGCUCAGGCUGGAUCAAGAAAUUUGGAGAAGGGACUAAGCUCAUCGUGAUUCCCCCUGAUAUACAUCUUCCUGUAGACAUUUCCCCCAAACCAAUUGUUUUUCUUCCUUCCAUUGCGGAGAUAAACCUUCAGAAGACUGGGACAUAUUUUUGUCUUCUUGAUAAAUUCUUCCCUGAUGUUAUCAAGGUAUAUUGGAAAGAAAAGAAUGGCAAUACAAUUCUGGAAUCCCAGCAGGGAAAUACCAUGAAGACUAAUGACACAUACAUGAAAUUCAGCUGGCUGACUGUGACCGAAAAUUCAAUGGACAAAGAACACAAAUGUAUCAUCAAACAUGAGAACAAUAAAGGAGGGGUUGACCAAGAGAUUCUUUUUCCUUCAGUGAUUCAAGAGGCCACAGAUAUUAAUUCUACCAAAGCUUGUCUGAAAGAUGAAAGCAACCCCCUGCAGCUGCAGCUCACCAGCACCUCUGCCUAUCACACCUACAUCCUUCUCCUCCUCGCGAGUGCCGUCUGCUUUACCAUCAUCAACUUCCGUCUGUUUAGGAGAACAGCAGCCUGUGGCAAUGGAAAGAGUUCGUAA